GGGUUGUGAGGUUAAGCGACUAAGCGUACACGGUGGAUGCCCUGGCAGUCAGAGGCGAUGAAGGACGUGCUAAUCUGCGAAAAGCGUCGGUAAGGUGAUAUGAACCGUUAUAGCCGGCGAUGUCCGAAUGGGGAAACCCAGUGUGAUUCGUCACACUAUCGUUAACUGAAUACAUAGGUUAACGAGGCGAACCGGGGGAACUGAAACAUCUAAGUACCCCGAGGAAAAGAAAUCAACCGAGAUUCCCCCAGUAGCGGCGAGCGAACGGGGAGCAGCCCAGAGUCUGAAUCAGCUUGUGUGUUAGUGGAACGGUCUGGAAAGUCCGACGGUACAGGGUGAUAGUCCCGUACACCAAAAUGCACAGGCUGUGAACUCGAAGAGUAGGGCGGGACACGUGGUAUCCUGUCUGAAUAUGGGGGGACCAUCCUCCAAGGCUAAAUACUCCUGACUGACCGAUAGUGAACCAGUACCGUGAGGGAAAGGCGAAAAGAACCCCGGCGAGGGGAGUGAAAAAGAACCUGAAACCGUGUACGUACAAGCAGUGGGAGCACCUUUAUGGUGUGACUGCGUACCUUUUGUAUAAUGGGUCAGCGACUUAUAUUCUGUAGCAAGGUUAACCGUAUAGGGGAGCCGCAGGGAAACCGAGUCUUAACUGGGCGUUAAGUUGCAGGGUAUAGACCCGAAACCCGGUGAUCUAGCCAUGGGCAGGUUGAAGGUUGGGUAACACUAACUGGAGGACCGAACCGACUAAUGUUGAAAAAUUAGCGGAUGACUUGUGGCUGGGGGUGAAAGGCCAAUCAAACCGGGAGAUAGCUGGUUCUCCCCGAAAGCUAUUUAGGUAGCGCCUCGUGAACUCAUCUUCGGGGGUAGAGCACUGUUUCGGCUAGGGGGUCAUCCCGACUUACCAACCCGAUGCAAACUACGAAUACCGAAGAAUGUUAUCACGGGAGACACACGGCGGGUGCUAACGUCCGUCGUGAAGAGGGAAACAACCCAGACCGCCAGCUAAGGUCCCAAAGUCAUGGUUAAGUGGGAAACGAUGUGGGAAGGCACAGACAGCCAGGAUGUUGGCUUAGAAGCAGCCAUCAUUUAAAGAAAGCGUAAUAGCUCACUGGUCGAGUCGGCCUGCGCGGAAGAUGUAACGGGGCUAAACCAUGCACCGAAGCUGCGGCAGCGACACUAUGUGUUGUUGGGUAGGGGAGCGUUCUGUAAGCCUGCGAAGGUGACCUGUGAGGGUUGCUGGAGGUAUCAGAAGUGCGAAUGCUGACAUAAGUAACGAUAAAGCGGGUGAAAAGCCCGCUCGCCGGAAGACCAAGGGUUCCUGUCCAACGUUAAUCGGGGCAGGGUGAGUCGACCCCUAAGGCGAGGCCGAAAGGCGUAGUCGAUGGGAAACAGGUUAAUAUUCCUGUACUUGGUGUUACUGCGAAGGGGGGACGGAGAAGGCUAUGUUAGCCGGGCGACGGUUGUCCCGGUUUAAGCAUGUAGGCUGAUUAUCCAGGCAAAUCCGGAUAAUCAAGGCUGAGGUGUGAUGACGAGGCACUACGGUGCUGAAGUAACAAAUGCCCUGCUUCCAGGAAAAGCCUCUAAGCAUCAGGUAACAUCAAAUCGUACCCCAAACCGACACAGGUGGUCAGGUAGAGAAUACCAAGGCGCUUGAGAGAACUCGGGUGAAGGAACUAGGCAAAAUGGUGCCGUAACUUCGGGAGAAGGCACGCUGGUGUGUAGGUGAAGUCCCUGCGGAUGGAGCUGAGACCAGUCGAAGAUACCAGCUGGCUGCAACUGUUUAUUAAAAACACAGCACUGUGCAAACACGAAAGUGGACGUAUACGGUGUGACGCCUGCCCGGUGCCGGAAGGUUAAUUGAUGGGGUUAUCCGUAAGGAGAAGCUCUUGAUCGAAGCCCCGGUAAACGGCGGCCGUAACUAUAACGGUCCUAAGGUAGCGAAAUUCCUUGUCGGGUAAGUUCCGACCUGCACGAAUGGCGUAAUGAUGGCCAGGCUGUCUCCACCCGAGACUCAGUGAAAUUGAACUCGCUGUGAAGAUGCAGUGUACCCGCGGCAAGACGGAAAGACCCCGUGAACCUUUACUAUAGCUUGACACUGAACAUUGAGCCUUGAUGUGUAGGAUAGGUGGGAGGCUUUGAAGCGUGGACGCCAGUCUGCGUGGAGCCAACCUUGAAAUACCACCCUUUAAUGUUUGAUGUUCUAACGUUGGCCCCUAAUCGGGGUUGCGGACAGUGUCUGGUGGGUAGUUUGACUGGGGCGGUCUCCUCCCAAAGCGUAACGGAGGAGCACGAAGGUUAGCUAAUCCUGGUCGGACAUCAGGAGGUUAGUGCAAUGGCAUAAGCUAGCUUGACUGCGAGCGUGACGGCGCGAGCAGGUGCGAAAGCAGGUCAUAGUGAUCCGGUGGUUCUGAAUGGAAGGGCCAUCGCUCAACGGAUAAAAGGUACUCCGGGGAUAACAGGCUGAUACCGCCCAAGAGUUCAUAUCGACGGCGGUGUUUGGCACCUCGAUGUCGGCUCAUCACAUCCUGGGGCUGAAGUAGGUCCCAAGGGUAUGGCUGUUCGCCAUUUAAAGUGGUACGCGAGCUGGGUUUAGAACGUCGUGAGACAGUUCGGUCCCUAUCUGCCGUGGGCGCUGGAGAAUUGAGGGGGGCUGCUCCUAGUACGAGAGGACCGGAGUGGACGCAUCACUGGUGUUCGGGUUGUCAUGCCAAUGGCACUGCCCGGUAGCUAAAUGCGGAAGAGAUAAGUGCUGAAAGCAUCUAAGCACGAAACUUGCCCCGAGAUGAGUUCUCCCUGAGACUUUAAGUCUCCUGAAGGAACGUUAAAGACGAUGACGUUGAUAGGCCGGGUGUGUAAGCGCAGCGAUGCGUUGAGCUAACCGGUACUAAUGAACCGUGAGGCUUAACCUUACAACGCCGAAG
rnacentral:rRNA from 1 species